rnacentral:rRNA from 1 species
GAUGAACGCUGGCGGCGUGCUUAACACAUGCAAGUCGAACGGAAAGGCCAGUGCUUGCACUGGUACUCGAGUGGCGAACGGGUGAGUAACACGUGGGUGAUCUGCCCUGCACUUCGGGAUAAGCCUGGGAAACUGGGUCUAAUACCGGAUAGGACAAUGGUUUGGAUGCCGUUGUGGAAAGUUUUUUCGGUGUGGGAUGAGCUCGCGGCCUAUCAGCUUGUUGGUGGGGUAAUGGCCUACCAAGGCGUCGACGGGUAGCCGGCCUGAGAGGGUGUACGGCCACAUUGGGACUGAGAGACGGCCCAGACACCUACGGGGGGCAGCAGUGGGGAAUAUUGCACAAUGGGCGCAAGCCUGAUGCAGCGACGCCGCGUGGGGGAUGACGGCCUUCGGGUUGUAAACUCCUUUCGCUAGGGACGAAGCGUAUUUGUGACGGUACCUGGAGAAGAAGCACCGGCUAACUACGUG